UAUGUCGUGAGUCUUCGUGUCUGCUGGUCUGCUUUUCUACAUCGUCAGUAUGUGUUUGUGUCCUCGCCUCAACUUGUGACAGAAUGAACUGACCACACAUGGCUCCAGCAGGGUACCAUCCUUAUGAGCAUUAGGACUAGCGAACUGGUGGGGAUGCUGCUGCAUGGGGCUGGAUCCAAGACCAUGCUGACAACCUGUGACAGCUUAAUAGUAUAUUUCCACAGCUGUGAAGCAGCAGAAUACCAAUGAGCUUCCAGAGGAAGCAGCUGUAAUCCAAAGCGGCAGCCUGCAGAGGGGAAAAUAUUUUCUCCUGGAGUUCCAUGAACAUUGGAUGAGGAAUCCUGCAGAUCGAAAAUAAUAAAAUGCCACGGCAGCCUUGUCAGA